UACAGAGGGGGCAAGCGUUGUUCGGAAUUACUGGGCGUAAAGGGCGCGUAGGCGGCGUGCUAAGUCGAACGUGAAAUCCCCGGGCUCAACCCGGGAACUGCGUCCGAGACUGGCAUGCUUGAAUCCGGGGGAGGGAUGUGGAAUUCCAGGUGUAGCGGUGAAAUGCGUAGAUAUCUGGAGGAACAUCGGUGGCGAAGGCGGCAUCCUGGACCGGUAUUGACGCUGAGGCGCGAAAGCCAGGGGAGCAAACGGG
rnacentral:rRNA from 1 species